rnacentral:tRNA from 1 species
UCCUUCCUGGUGCAGUGGUCAGCACGCUUGACGCGUAACCAAGAGGUCCGGGGUUCGAUUCCCGGCGAAGGCG